rnacentral:rRNA from 1 species
AUUGAACGCUGGCGGCAUGCUUUACACAUGCAAGUCGAACGGUAGCAGGUUAAGCUGACGAGUGGCGAACGGGUGAGUAAUGCAUCGGAACGUGCCCGGUCGUGGGGGAUAACGCAGCGAAAGCUGCGCUAAUACCGCAUACGAUCUGAGGAUGAAAGCGGGGGACCGUAAGGCCUCGCGCGAUCGGAGCGGCCGAUGUCAGAUUAGGUAGUUGGUGGGGUAAAGGCUCACAAAGCCAACGAUCUGUAGCUGGUCUGAGAGGACGACCAGCCACACUGGGACUGAGACAGGGCCCGGAAUCCUACGGGAGGCAGCAGUGGGGAAUUUUGAACAAUGGGCGAAAGCCUGAUCCAGCAAUGCCGCGUGCAGGAAGAAGGCCUUCGGGUUGUAAACUGCUUUUGUACGGAGCGAAAAGGUCUCCUCUAAUACAGGGGGCUCAUGACGGUACCGUAAGAAUAAGCACCGGCUAACUACGUGCCAGCAGCCGCAGUAA